AAAUAUUAUGUUUUAUCAAUGAAAGUUAAGGUAUGAAAGGUAAGAAUUGCCACUUAUUCGAUUUUCACAAAAUUUUCGUAAUAUACAGUUGAAAGGUUAUUUUUUAAAAGCCUAUUGUGAAGAGUAAAGAGAAAGUUUACAAAUAAUACGUUUUGUUCCAUUAAACAAGUCAUUUUCGUAAGAGUAAUACCGAAAUAUAUUUUACGCAACUACGGCAGGUAAAAUUAUUAUUUAUCAUAAUAAAAAAAAAGCAUUUUUCAGUCUCAUUGGAAUAUGUUGAUUACAAUUAAUCCCAAACUUAAGAAGUAAGUAACUAAAGUCAAAAUAUGUCCGAUCUGCCUAUUUCUGCACAUCAAAAGUCAAUACGAUCGUUUUAAAGUCAAUUUCGUCUACCUCACAAAAUCUUGUUAGGCACUAUAACAAUUAUUUC
rnacentral:lncRNA from 1 species